UCCAAGGAGGACCCUGUCUGUCUACCUUUGAUCCCGAUCUGUGGGUUCCUGAAUCAAGACCUGGAAUCCAGUUCCCAUCCAUCAGUGAGUCCAGUCUGGGACUUCCCCAGUGCCUGCUGGGGACAUCUUCCUGGGAACCUGAUUUCAACUCAACACAGAGUUUCAAUGCAUCCCUACCCAUCCCCUGGUUGCACAGGAGAUUAAACAUGACCUACAUGUCAUCCAGAAUGUUUUGAUCGUGUGCUGUGACACGGAGGACCAAGGCCAGGAGCAAAGGAUCUCUCAAGCAGGACAAAUAAAUGAUUACAUAAUCCAAAACAGGCCUCGCGUAAACAGCCAGGGGUGCUGCCCAAGUACCUGGCAUCACUUGGUGACCUCCCUGAAGCUGACCAUGAAGGAAAUUGCUGGAUUUCAAAGGGAAAGAUCUAUCCUCUGCUUGCAGAAUGAGCCUUGCUAAAUGAAGAGACGCCAAAGGAGAAAAGGAGGGUUUAUGCACAGAUUACUCUACAAUGCCUUCAUUUCUCUGGAGACCAUUUUUAAUUAUGAGCAAAUUAUAAUAGCAGCUUCCAUAAGACAAAGACAUGGUUUUGGUCUGUCAGCAGCUCACUACAAUUACAUUUUUAAAAUGCUUAGUAGUAGAAUGGCUAUCUGUUUCAAAGCUGCGUAAUUUGACAGAAGAGAUGGAUGAAACCAGUUUCCAUUGCUGCCCUCUCAUGCAUCCUCACGGAACGUCGACAGUGAAACACUGAUGCUCGACAUAUCCUACACUUGCAAAAAGUUUGCUGAGGGAUCCAGAGCUGACUACAGUAUGCGGGGAAUUUAGAAAAAAGUAUUAAAAAAAUUAAAGUGACUGAACCUAAGUGUUUAAAAUUGAAUAGCCUGAGGCAGAAAGUCAAACUUGUUUUCCCACUUUGAAGGACAAAGGGGAAAAAAAAGCAGCGUUCAAUGUUUCAACAAGAAGUAGCUACCAGAUACUAAAUUGGCAAUGACUGGUUAUAGUGUCAGAUGUAGGUUGUCCUGGUUGUGAUCUAGAGGUCUGUACUAGGAAGGACAGAAAUAUUCUGGAAGACAAAUAUCUUAAUAAUUGCAGUCUGUUCACCGUGGUGUAGAUUUUAAAUCAGUUUUGAAAAUGGUACCUUAAUUUUUCAGUAGGGAACCAGGUGAAUACCCUGAUGGAACCUUGAUCUUAAGCUAACAAACUAAGUAUUCACUAACAUGUUGUUACCUUGAAAUAACCAAGUUAUCUGAAGUUAACCAAGCUAACUGUGGUGGGUUUUGGAUAAGGGCCCAUUGCUAUAAAGGUGAGUGACAGCUGUUUGAUUUCUAUAAGCACGAUUCUGCCAUGAUCUCCAUUGUGUUUACCAGGGUCAUGACAGUUUGUGCCUCAGAAAAUCAAUCAUAAACAGACACUCAAAAAUCAAGGCAAUGAAAAGGCAUGUCUGACUUGAAGAAUUUUGGCAUUAAUUUCCCGGGAUAUAUUUUGGAAAAACAUUUUUUGGGAGGAAGCUGUUAUCUGACAUUUAAAAAUUCCAACAUAAAAAAGAUAUAAUACCUGUGGGGGGAAAUGUAAACAGAGAGAAGAUUAAAAGUGACUAAGUCCAGAAGUCCAUUAGCUAUGGAAAAGGAAGAUAAAGCAAACAGCUAACUCAAUUUGAUGUUACAGUUGAAAGUCUACAUUUACAGAGAAGUUCCUUCUGUUACUUUUACAUAGACUCUUUAUUCCCAUCAGGUGAUGAACAGCGGAUGAACAGCUUAGGGACCUUAGGUGAUAGGCAUAAUAAAUGUUCAUAACGCUUCCAAAAUACAUGCAAAUGACAAAGGUAAGACUACAUACCUAAGAAUAAUUUAUAAUCCAUUUAUAAUCCCCACAUCAGUCAGAACACUGUAACAGCAGCAGAAGUUCAUUAUGCAUGGGAAGAGACCAGAAUUUGACAGCUUUCCACUACAGUUUGCAGGAAAAGAAAUGUUAUCUUGGUAUUUCAUAGUAAGUGUUCUCAAUGAUACACCUCCUGGCAAGCUGUCAGUUAGUACACAUCAGUACCCUGCAUUCCCUCUUUCCAAAAAAAGAAGAAAACUGCUGAAAAUACACUGACAGAGUAGUGUUAGUUUUCAAACAACAAUCCUCUGCUCCUUUUAACGAUCACGCUUCUAACGUACCUAGAAGGGUACAGUUUCUUGCUGAGUAUCCGGUUGGUGUUAAAGGAAGAGCCUGGCAACACUGAAACAUCAAAACAGUUUAGGGACAGGAACUAAUUUAUUAUUUUGAUUUCCUACCUGGUGAGCACUGAUGAUUUUUUUUAAAAUAUUUGCUUCUUCAUAGGAUCUAUAGAAAGCCAUAUAUAAUGGCUGGAAAAGCAGUAUCAUGAAAUUUCUGUAUAGGCGGAAGUUCUUACGGUUCUUUGAGAUGACCUUUGAAUUUCAAUACAACACUGUGGUUUAGGUGGAAGAAAUAUCUUAGAGAAAACGAGUACCGAUUGUGGUUUAGGUCUGCUUAUUCUGCAUUGUAUGAAGCGUAUAAACUCAGGUACAGUUAUGGAAGCUUUAAGAAAGGCAUGAAGAUAAUUUGUCCCAGAGGCUCCUAAGCUCAUGCUAGCUUACUACAAAGUGAAACCAAAUAAAACAAAGAUGCCUAAUUUAUCCUGACUGUAAAUACUAAAAAUAAUGUAGUUACUCUGCUGAUAACCACAAAAAUAUAUAGCUAAAGGAAAAAUGAAAAACGUCAUAAGAUGUCCAGAAAUGUUUCAUUUGCAAAGGCAAACACUUGAAGAAUCAUAUUUUUAUUUUCUUAUGCAGCUUUAGUCCUGAGAAAACAGCGUGUGGUAAAUAUAUGUGAUCCUGAAGUUGAAGAUCAUGUCAUGUUGCAUAAGGACAAUCACAAAGGAAUUACAAUUGUCCAAGGAAGUAUAAAUCUACCAUGUCCUAACAUUUGAGCUUUUCAACCUAAAUAACCCCCCUUUAAACUACUUAUACAUAAAGAUUGUGCACUUUAUUAAGAUUUACAUUUAAUGAAAAACAGUUGAAAAGCUAUGAAUGUGUUUUUCCCAAUGUAAUGUGUAACUAAAUUAAAUUUACAAGAUCUUAGCAUCUGGGGGAAACAGAAUUUCUGUGCUAUGUUUAUCGAUGUGUUACUGUCUUUGUGUUGCUGUUAACUUGUCAAGUUAAAGCAUUCAGUAUUAGUCUUUGCUUUUUCAGGAAUGGACAGUUGUUGGAUUUUAUAUACAGCACAGAAGGACAAUUGUUGGAUUUUAUAAUGCACAGGAGACUAAACACCUCUUCCACUGGGGAAGUGAGGGGAGGGGGAUGCUUUCAUUGCCUGAAGGUUUCCCCCUAUCAAAGUUCACACGCUUUCUGCAAAUAGGAAGUAAAUGGAUAUAUUAGAUCUUGAAAACCUCCUAUCGGCUUCUCAUUUACUAAACAAAGAUAAGCUUUUUAGGUUCCAGAGCAGAAAAUACAGAAAACCUUGUCAAACAAAUAUAAAGAGUAGACGAUACAGCCCUGAUAUUCUGAUCUGUUUAAUCUCUGCUUUGCAUUUACAUUUGUGUUGUUCCCAACUGUUUUGGCCCUCUCUCUGCGUUUCCUGUUACUUUAGUUUCAGAAGUAGUUAUUUUGAUUCAGAAGGCAUUGAUGACGGUACAGACUGCUGGAUAACAGCAACCAUUCUACCAUUUCUUCCCACAUGGAGAUGAUGCUUUGUGAAGGCCUCAAUGGCUGGGGAGGGCAGAAGGCAGGCUCUGCCACCUCAGCAGUCUUAGCCUGGUGGGGAAAUGUUAUGCUCUUCACUGUUAAAACACUGGAAGCGGUGCUAAAGCUCUGCAACAACAUGGAUGGAGAUGUUUAAGAGUCAUUCUUCAGUUUUAAACUGUGCUUCCAACGAUGAUUCACAUCAAAAAACCAAUUAACGGCAGUUUAAUCACCCAGCCUGUACUUUGCCGCUGUUGCAAAAUCAAAAAUUUCUUCUCUCAUACCUUGGGGCUCUAUAUUAGUGCUAGGAAAAACCUCAACAGUUCUUGUCAAUCAGUAGCAGAAUAAUGUAUUUUUAAAAGGAUUUAUGUAGAGAUUGGAAAAUAGUCUGUAUUAUUGAUGGCGUAAAUCUACCAGAAAAAUUCAGAUACGUGCAAGUUCAUAAAAAUCAUCCAUGUGUGUUGACAUUUUAUAUUCUAAUGUGACAAGAAAAGAAUGUUUCUUCAUUUGAUGAUAUUCAUCCGUAACUGAUGAUAUAUGCAAUUUAUGCUACUGAGGGCCUGAAUUUAACCUUAUAUUUUGGCUUUAAAGCACAAAGAUUAUAAUGGAUUUUUUUCUGAUUUAGAUCUAGUUAUUUGAUCAUUAGAUCUUGCUUCUUUAAGAUAGCUAGAACUUUUUUUUUUAACUAAAAUAACAACUGUGUAGUCCUCUAAAGAUUUUUAACUUUAGGUUUCUGCGCACUAUAGAAUCCAUUUUUAUUCCAAUUUAUCGGCAUAAUUUAUUAAUUAAGACUUCCAUUUAAUUUCUCGCCACUUGGUUUAUCUAGGACCCAAGCCUGGCUGAAAUGUUUUUUGCUCCUGAAUUUACCUCAGAAGGAGGAAAACAUGCUCAAUCAAAGAUCUUUUUUACACUUCUGAAAUAAAAAGAAUUUUGAAAAUGAGAAUGACAAGCUAUCUAUCUUGCUGAUCUUGCAUUGCCAACCCUACAGAGAGUUCGAAAUGUUGUAUUUAAGGAUGUACUCGGUUCCCUUCAGCUGUUUAGCCUUACAACCUAAGGUUAUAGUGUAAAUGUCAGUUCCCUUAAUUCUUCCUGCUAGCUCUUUUAAUUAUUCCAUGACCAAUGAUUUCUAUGUAGUGUCUCCAGUUACAACUUUAAAAUUCCUUCCUAACUUGUCCAACAGGGGAAUUUUAUAUAAAUACGAAUAAUGUAAAGGAUUCGGUAUUGAUUUUCCUACUCAGUAUACUGUGUUCUUCAACUCCCCAAACUCACAUCCCAACUACUCCUACUCAGGAACAGAAUUUUUGCUUGUCCAGCUAACUUCAGCUGUGAAGCCAGCAUGUCAUAACAACUCACAGUGUCAUGUUAUCACGGCAAUAAUGGGGUCACUGGAUUUUGGCAAAACAGACACUAUAGACAUAAUCAUGAUAGGAAACACGUUUCUUACAUCUUCUUAUGUGGUAAGAAAAACAUCUCACUUAAUAUGCAAAACAAAACUGUACUCCAGUGUUCUUUUGGUCAGAAGUCUGAAUUUUUAGUUUCAGCCACCACAGAGAAAUCUUUGCUCUACUUUGCAGGACAGAGCAAGUUUGUGCCCAGUUCACUUCGUACUCACUUAAAGAAACUCCAGUCAGUCUGCCUCACUAUAUCUUGAACUAUUUUCUUCUCUGUGGGGCUAUAUAGGUUGGAAGAAGGAUCAGAAUCAUAGCAGCUGUUUUCUCUCAUGCUAAAUAUAUUUUGAUAGAUCACCAUCAGCUGCCAAGCCUUCUACUGUGCUUUCGCCUUGGGAAAGGUGGCAUAAGAUGCAGAUUUUCUGGGGGGAAGCUUGCGAAAUACUUGCUUUUGCCAUACCAGGAUCUACUUCCACAUUGUUUGAAGACAUGGUGUCUGAGUCUGUACAGUUUUCUCUUCCUUCAGUUCAACUAAGGUAGGACUACACUCAUCUUUCUGGGGAUAAAUCUGACUAAGAUAUUUUGGACUUAAUCUCCAGAUGUUAAUUUUGCAUCUUGUCUAUGAAAAGCUGAUAGCAAACUUGUAAUUUCUUGGCUUGCAGGUUGAAAACAACAACAACAAAUGCAAGUGUCUCCCAGCAUUUCUCUUUAUCUGGCUUUGCACUUGCUUGUGUUGUUUAGACCCCUGUUUUCAUUUUCUCAUCUGUAUCUCUCAUAGCAUAAAUAGAUAAAAUUCAUACUCAAAGGGUAUUCAAUUCUGCAUUUACAAGGUAUUGGCUGAACUGUGAGGCUAGAGCUGUUGGGUGCUGAAGAUGGCAGCUGAGAAACAAUGGAGUUAGCCUCCACUAUAGCUGGUGAGACACCCAUAUAGCGGGAUGUACUCCUUUUCUACCAUACAUAUUCUCCUUUCCACAUCUGUUCUUUUUCUUCUUGUGGAAGGUAAAGUAAUCCUUCUUGGGACCCACAGGAGAACUUCAGCAUUUUAAAGACUGAGGUCUUAAGGAGAAAUUAGACUGACUUCAUUCACCAGACAGUCAUCCUUGACAUAAAACCCAACAAAAUAGACAUUCCUCUUAGUGUGCCGAAAGAAACUAGAGUAAAACCAACAGAGAAUUUCCUUUAUAUUCGGAUGCUAAAGAAAACAGAACCUUCUUAAUGUGCCAAGCAGCAACAUGAGCUCAAUGAGCUGCUAAUUCUGUAAGCAUUUUUGCCACUGCAUUACGAAAUGGUUGCUAUGGAGAGAAGCUGGCUGUUAAAAUGCCUGUACAGCAAUGUUUCUUUCUUUCUUUCUUCGUUCCUUUAUUUUCUUGAAGGAUCUUACGCUUUGCGCUUGUUAAAAUACUUUGCUUUUCUUAAGGAAUGAAAAAUAUCCCAAAACAUGGAUUGGACUUGAAUCAACGAGAACAUAAAACAAUGAUACCUACCUUUAUUGAAAACCUGUGCAAAAACUUCUCAUUCAUUGUAAUUUCCACUAAAGCUAUGGGAUACAUAUGUCUUGUUCCUCACUGUUUCCUAAUUCAUCUACACUUCCAUCUGCCUAUUUGAUACCCUGAUUGCCUAAAGAUAAAAUUUUUCUCUCUUUCAUCUGCUGAUCUGGUUGAACUGCUUUCCUUUCAGUAUUACUAAGCCAAUUACUUAUAUCCAGCUCCUAUCGACUGCUGUCAGGAGACAGCUCUGAUGUGGUGAAAAUAUGAGCUGCUGUUUUGCUGUGGCUGUAUUAUCUGAAAUAUGAUGACUGUGAUGCAGCUGUGGUCAGUUUUCUGUUACCUACAAUGAAGGUGACCUCACUGUUCGCUGUGAUGUGUAGACCUUUGCAGUCAAAUAUGUUACAGAUAUGGAAAAAAUGUUACUACCUGGAAUUUUGACUCAUCAUUCUAUUUUGUUUCCUUUUUCUGUGGGACUUUCUGUUACAUAGAGAUAAGUUGCAUAGAGAUAAUUUAAUGUAUGUGCAUUUUUCCUAUUAAUAACACUUAGUAUUUAAAUGUGCCUUAGUACGCGUAGAAAAUUAUAAGCCUCUGCUUAGAGGUGACUGUUAGUUUGUAAUGAUUAAAAUGCAGUCCUCUAAUAGCCACGGGCUUAAUUCAGUACAAAAUCUACAGCUUUCUGAUUCUUUUAGUUUUUGAAAGACCCGCUUCAGGACAGGAUAACUCUGUACUCCUAUGUGCUUGCUUUCAUGGCUCAUGCCAUGAAAGAAGUCAGACUAAGAAAACAGAAGCCAAUGAAAAUAGCAUCUUUUACAGCUAAGAGUAAACACCCCAUCUUCCCCAAAGUGUUCCUCUAGAUGGUUCUAUGCACCUAAUAAUAGAUGUUCAAAGAACCUGUAUCACCUCUUUCCAUUUUUUAAAUUGUGUUUAUUGUUUUCUUCUUAGAGUACUGGUGCUAUUUGGAAAUAUAAAUUCAUAUCAGGGCUCAAUCCUGUGGAUCAGCGCUAGGAAGGAUGAUGGUGUAAGAUGGUUGACAUACGGUGCAAUAAAAGCAUAUACAGCCUUUCAAAGAAUUCUAGACAGGUCCCUCAUUUUCGGCUGCCAUCGUGCUCCUUAAAUUCCUGAAUUUAAAACCUCAACUUAUCCUUUUUUCACAAAAUUUUGGGAAGAUCGUCACUGUUCUACCUUCUGACUUAAAGGAGAGGCGCAGAGGUCGUGAAUCUCAUGGGCUGGUCCAGUACCAUUUCUUUUUACCACACAUGUGAUGCUUUAUAAAUUAAGGCAUAAGAGAACGUGACUGCAGCUACAUACGGAGAUCCUCUGGACACCUUUAUCCAAGUGAGCUCUUGAAGUCAACUCUGGAAGUCAGCCCUUGAAAAAGAAAUACCACAGCCUUUUUAGUGCAUCGGUGUGAACCUAAAAGCCUGGCUGAGGGAUCUCCUUUGAUCAGCUGAAAACUGGAAAUAAAGCAACAGAUGCUGGUUUUGGCUCUUGUGAUACUGUUCUUCUAGUUGUACAUGAAUGAAACUGAAGAUUAGGUACUUCCAUUAGAAAAAGCAUAUUUGAUAGAGAAUAUGACAUUGAGGCUGAGAAAGACUUCAUCCAAGGUUUAAAGGACUAUUUUCACAGAAGUGUAGAAUUGCAAGAAUGGUGUUUGGAAUGUACUUCCCAAGGUCAUCUAGUCCAGACCACCAGUUCCAAAUGAAGUCAAUUACCUGGAAUCACUGAAAAAAAGAAAACCUUCCUUCUCAUGAAGACUCCAGCUGCCUCCUUUAACCUUUAAAAUAAAAGGUGAAAUCUAGAAAGCAUAUAUUUCAGUUGAGCCUUAGAAAGAACUUAACACCUUCUAAGUAAUUUUUUCAUUUAUGUCCUUUUCAUUUGACUGUUUUCUUUUUUAAUUUUUUCUUCUCAUUUAGUCCAUAAACUGGUUUGUGUAAAGAAAAAUGAACUGGAGUUGGAAAAGUUAGAAAGAUCAGAAGAUGAAGAAAGCAGCUUCUCAGGGAAACAGAAAGAUGUUAUUUAUCCUGUUGUGCAGCACAGCUGGAGUGCUCUCAGGAGUAGAGAAUGCUCAUGCUGAAAACUCAGUGGAAAAAUCAAUAGCAGCGGGAAGAUCACACUUUUAUCAUUUUAAUGAUCAUACACUCAGCAAAAAGUUUAGAAUUCUGACUAACAGCAUGAUCUUAAGUGAGAAUGGCAGAUACCACUGGAAAGAACAGCAUAAUGUCUAUUGAAAGCUUUGGCUUUUAUUUUCUGCACCCUUAUAUGCAGAAAGUCUGCUUAUACAUCUCUCAGGAAAAAAUUAUUCAUGACUAGAGACCAUGUGGUGCAAAAGAAACAUGCUUGUGAUGAAUUAGAUUCAGACUUCUAGCUGGGAGUAAAAAGUGCAUGGGGCAAGUCCUCUUCUAAUUGGGAUGUGAGAGUUUUGCCAGCGAUCAGAUUGCAAGUUUUCUGUGGCUUUAGUGUAUUGUACAAAGAUAGUGAAUCAUACAAAAGAAAGAAGGAUCCUUCAGGAGACCAGACCUUGCAUCUCCGUUUAGCUUUGAAUCAACGAGAAAAUCUUCUCUGACAAGUCGAACUCCUUCCCUCCAUGCAAGCCAAGUAACACACCAGAUGAUACUCCAUGUAUUGCCUUACUCUUGCUUGUUUUUUCCUGUUUUAAAAGGAUGUACGUAUUUUUCAGCAUACCUAGAGGAAACAAAAUAAUUCGAAAAGAACUCUUAGUUUAUGAAAAAAAUGAUGCCUAUUAUAGUUACUCUGCAGAAAAAUAUGCAAAUCCCUUAAUGUGAAGAAAUUAUUAUGUUUGAUCUACUAUUAUUUACUGAAGAGAUUUACUAGAAAAGAACAUUGCUAGAAUUUCUGACAUCUCUGAUUUAUGAAGCAGUCUUUGAUACUUCCAGGCAUUAAUUACAUUUAACUGGGAAACUUGUAAAAUAAUGAUUUCUUCUGAAUUAUUUAGGAAAUUCAUAUUUUAGUUUUAUGAAUAGGCAGUUUUAUUUUAAGAUGUACCUUAUAAUCUGUUUUGGUAAUAAGUGAAAUUCCACUCAAAAAUAUGUAUCAAAGUUAGGAUAAAUAAGGACAUUUUUUAACUCUUAUUAUCCCUCUUUUGGCUACUAUUGUGUGUUUGCUUGGGUCUUCUCAUUUAGGGCCACAGUUUGACUAAAUGUCAAGCAGAUAGGUAAUGAGACAGUCCUGAGUGAGGUAUUUUGAGAGAGAAUUUGGGAAAGAAAAACCUAGCUUUUGAAAGAUCGACCAUAACCUUGAAAGAUUGCUCACUCCUUUCCUAAACUCUAGGAGACUGAGACAGACAAAAAAAAAAAAAAAAAAAAAAAAGAGGGUCAGAAGGGUAGAGACAUACAAAGAGCCUUUCCUCCACUUGCAGAAGGAUGGAUCAGCUUGGCUCUUCACAGCCCUCAUUCAAGGACAACAUGAGUGUCAUGUUGAUGCAGAAGCUGGACCCAUCAUCAUAAUAAUAUUGCCUCUGAAUGAAUGGAACCAAAGUUACUCCAGUGGCUGUAAGAAAACUAGCUGAAUCAACUUCAGAAGUUUCUUGUGCUGUGUUAUUCCUCCACACUGAGGAGAUUCCAAAUCCCUGCUUUGGUCUUUCCCAUUUUUCCAAGCUGAACGUCUGAUGCCUUAGUUAUAAUAAACACAAUAUAGGUACUACAGGACACAUCAAGUCAAGUACAGAGACACUGACAAGACAGUCAGCAUGGUUCGAUAACGAUUAGCUCUGGCUUAGCGCAAGAUAUGUAAGGCAAAACUGGCACCUGCAAAGCCACUUAGGUAUUUGUGCACUGUGUUUCCUAUAGUCUCAGUCCUGGGCAGAUUGACCUGGCUGGAAUCAGUCCUUUCCACAGCAAGUCUGUCCUUCUGCUGUAGCUAACAUGAAAAAAGCUUGACAGAUUUUUUUUUCAGAGCCAUCUAGGGUUCACCUGGGCUUAUUAGAGGGCAACUGAUGUGCUGGCAUAAUUUAUAUUGACAUCUUUGUAAAUAUUUUGUGUCUAUCCAAGAGUAUAACUCAAUAUUUGGUAUAAAAUGAACAGCAACGCAAAGCUACUGUUAGGGAUAUAUCAUUGUGAUGAGAAAUACCGGAAGAGAAGAUAAUGUGAAACAUUGUGGAAUUUUUUGUUGGCCUUUUGAAUCCUAGCUGAAAACCAAACCAAACCAAAACCCCAAACCGAACACCCUCCCCCAAAACCCACAAAACUUUUUCCUAGAAUAAGGUUUUGUUAUAGCAUUCUCCAGACUUUUCACAGAGGUUGAUAUUCCUUUCAACUUCAGUGUAAACUCUAACUCUAUCAUAUUAGUUUCUAAUAUCUCUCAGAAAGAAGUCUUCAUGAGCGAAUGAAAACAGACUCAAUACCUGUUUGAAGGGAAAUUAUGUUGCAUGUGAUUUUGGAAGUAAGGAUAACUACUUAAUAGCAGCAAUAAAUACUUCAAGACAGCCCAUCAUGCAGUUCAAGUUCUUGGUUUCCCAAGCUGACAUGAUAUGUGCCCUAUUUGAAUUAAUGCCUUAUACCAGGCAUAGACAAGGUUCUCAGACAACGUAAUCAGCAUAGAUCCAAUGAAGUCAAUUGACUAAAGCUAGAUGAGAAUAGAAGUUAUUUGAGGUAAUCUUAAUUCUGAUUUACUUUUUAAUUAGUUAAUUUACAACUUUUUUCAUCCAUUUUCCUUGUUUUAAUGAGUACAAGUUAAUGAAUGGUGUCAUACUCUAUCUUAUUCAUAACCAAAACAGGAAACUGUGAAUGAAUCAUACAAAACUCCAUCAGAUAAUCUCCUAUUUCUGUUGGUCCAUAUUGAUUCAAGUGCUGUGGCAGAAACAGGUUCUGCUUGUCUUCUUUUUGUCCCCUCUUUGUGUCAGCAUUUGUCUUUUUCCUGCCAUAUCUCUUCUCAUAUCUUACUUAUAUCCUAUAUCCUGUGGUAUCUGAGAGAAAGAACUAGACUUUUUUUAUUUUUUCUUCAGAGUUGGAACUAAGGAAAAUAAGGCGAUAGUGAUGCAGAGCCACAGAGGACCUGAAGAAUGGAGGUCUUCAACAAUGAUGACAAAAUAAGAGUCCACCUUUUCUUCCUUAAUCUUGAAUGGUGCCCCAAUGAAAGAUUGUAGGGUCACUUGAUCAAGACCUGGUGGCUACUGAGCUGCUGUGAAAAUGGAAGGAGAUUUUAUUUCAGAAGCUUAUGGAAAAGAGUCUCCAAGAACAUAGAAAAUGAAGGAGAAGACUGCUCAGAAAAAGAUGUGCUGCUGGAGAAAAAAAAUCAGAUAGUAUAAGAAGAAGAAGAAAAUAACAGCUAGUAUCACAAGAGCAUAGAAAAGAAUGAUGGCAGACAGCUACAGCCUGGAGAUACAGGAGAAAUGAGACCAAGUCAUAUGAAAGAAUAAAUGGCAACAGAUGUUUAUCUGAGGCUGAAUAAAGUCCAAAGGUGAACACAGUAGCAUCUGCUAUUCAUCCAUCAUGAUAGAUUUGACAGAUUCCUCCUAAAGUAUCAAGAAUUACUUUGCCAACCUAUGAGGCAGUCAGAGAAUUAGAAUCUUAAAGGAUUUCAAGUGUUAUUUUUCUCAUCUUUAAAAAAGUAGGUGGAAGGAUUGAAUAAACUGUAAAAACAGACAAAUAACUAUGGAGGUAAAAUAACAUUUACUGGGUUUUUGAGACCUUCAGCCAUAGGUAGUUGUUCAGAAACACAAGCUCCUGUAAUCGGACAAUGUCCAUUUUGGAGAGAACCGGCCUUCAGGCAGUCAUGAUUGUAAAGAUCCUGAAAUUCAAGGAGACAAAUCUUGAGACACUAUGCAAUUCCCAUGCCUACUUUACAAUGCAAAAAAAAAAAAAAGAAAAAAAGGAGUCACGUGGGACAUUACAAUAGAUAAGAUUUAUCAUGAGCAAGGAAGUCAUAAUAAUAACACAAUAGCAAAGUAGGCGAUAACUGUUCAUGAAAAAGUUGCACACAGAAGGUUGGUUAUAGUCAGCAAGAAAUAACUGCAAAGUUUACAAACAAGUCCAAAGACAAACCCAGGUGGGUCAAAAAACAGAAGAACCAGAACUACAGGAGUGAAGUAGGUGCUCUGAGGAUAUCAGAAAGAUAGUGGGUUAGUAGAACUCAAUUACUAAAAUUUAAAAAAAGCAGAAGCAGUAUAAAAGGUGUUCAAGGAGGAAUGAGCAUUGAAGAGCUGAAAAAACACAGGCAGAAUGGGAAGACAGCAUACUAAUAACAACAGAAAUAGCUUGUGUCGAAAUAACCUUAAAAAAGGUAAACAAAUUAUAAUAGUCAUGGUAGGACUUAGAACUUAUUCUUCUUGGGUUUUUUGGUUUGGUUUCUUUUUUUUUUUUAACCUUUUAUUACCUACCAAUUUUAUUCACCAAGUAAUCACUGAACAAAUAAAAGAUGAAUCUGUAUUAGACCCAGUUUUGGUAAGAAGUAGUCAAGACUUACUGGUUGAAGAUAAUGUGGGUUUAGGUGACAGUAAGUUUAUUAAUUUUAAUUCAAAGGGGGAAAAAAAGAUGUGUAGUUAAGGCCUUCAAAUUCAAAAGAUGAUAUGAGUGUUCAAGAAACUGGAAUUUUCUUCACAUUACAGAGACUGUGUAUAAAUAUGAAAAUGUGAUAUGCCUGGCAAUCUUAAUAAAGGUGCACUGUACUGCCUGUAGUAAGUAAUAAUUUUAAAGUUACGGUUUAUUCAACUAUUAUUGUCUUUACUUUUAACCUGGAAAUAAGCAUUUCAGGUUAUCUGAUUCUGAAAACUCAUCAGGUGAACCUCAGCACUUUCUUUACUUUCUCUAGUGCACUCAUGGUGGUUAGCUAGAGUCAGUAUAAUUUCAGAGUUCUUCCAAUUAUUAUAGAAAAAUGUGCUGCUGUUAUAAUUGCUAACUAUAUAGCAUUUCUCACCGUUCUUAAGUGGAACCGAUUUUUAUGGCUGUUCGGGAUAAUCACGUCUUAAACCUUCCUGAAGUAAACUCGAAUUUUAAUAAAGAAUUUCUACCUUCAAACACAUGAACCCUUCCAAUACUCAGAUUGAGAGCAUUAGAUUUAAUACACUUAUUUGUUGCUGAAAGGUGUGAAAGGGUCAGUAAUGAAAAUACAGCUAUUGUGUUAAUGCUGGCAGUUUCAAUUCUGCAUCUGUUGGCUUCUCCAUAUUGUGGAUGAACUCUGAUAAAUUAUACCAAUUUAUAAUUCUAAAGUGGUCCCAUGUGUAUAUUUUUCUUUUGCAUUUUGGUAUGUAUCUGCAAUGAUACAGUUUUCCAGUUCCUUUUACACAGCCAAUCUAGCAGACUCUUUUUCACUGUAAUUGUCAUGCUGUGCAUGAGGACUGCAUUAGGAUUUGGGAAAAGGCCAUUGUGUGUAUCCUUUAUGACAACUCUCACGUCAGCUAAUGUAUAUUUUCAUCCUGCAAGUCCGGGCAUGAUGUGAAACAAGGCAUGGAGAGUUAUUUUUUUGUAUAACAUAAAGUCAUAAGAAAAAGCCUGGCAAGUGUCUCAGGAGGUCAGUUCAUCUGGUCAUCCUGAAGACUACAAAUAUAUGGAGAGGACUCCAUGCAGAGAAAUAUAAGAUUAAAAUUCUACAUGCCACACUCUUAAUAUACAUUUAUGAUAGACUCUCUAGUGCAUGAUUAUACUUUUUAGUUGUGCUUAUUCUGUUUUAUCAAAAUGCAUGAGAUAAAACCUUUAGGAGGAAAGAUUAGUGUGUUAAGCGAAACGUAACUCACCAUUGCCGAAUUGGUAUCUUUUUCUUGUUAUUAUUUAUUUUUCAAGGUGUUUUUCCAGCAUAGCUUUUUGUGUAAUUUUAAUAACAAUUUGUUUCUCUGGUCUACAGGGCUUUUUUUUGCUAACUCUGAUUACAUUUUACAAGAAGGAAUCAUACUGUUUUAGCAAUCUUACAUCAUUCAGUAUUUUCAAUGUAAAGACAAAUAUUUCAAGUAUGGGGAGGAUUUUAAGGUUUUGUUUCAUUUUUAUUUGUACGGUGUUUGUUGAUUAAGAACACAAGUUAAAAAGAAAUACUGGAAGUUUUAUUCUGAUGUUUGUACCCAUUUAUCAAUAUUGUCUUUAAGCUUACACUACAGUAAAAUAUUGAGGAUUUAUUUUA